rnacentral:tRNA from 1 species
GGGGGUGUAGCUCAGUGGUAGAGCGCUCGCUUUGCAUGCGAGAAAUCACGGGUUCAAACCCGGGCACCUCCA